CUCAAAUUUGAAAUCUGGCCCCCUCGGGGCCCGAGUUGUAAUUUGUAGAAGAUGCUUCGGGCGUGGCCCCGGUCUAAGUUCCUUGGAACAGGACGUCGCAGAGGGUGAGAAUCCCGUACGUGACCGGGCGACCUUUGCCCACGUGAAGCUCUUUCGACGAGUCGAGUUGUUUGGGAAUGCAGCUCAAAAUGGGUGGUAAAUUUCAUCUAAAGCUAAAUAUGGGCCAGAGACCGAUAGCGCACAAGUAGAGUGAUCGAAAGAUGAAAAGCACUUUGGAAAGAGAGUUAAACAGUACGUGAAAUUGUUGAAAGGGAAGCGCUUGCAACCAGACUUGCGCCCGGUCGAUCAUCGGGGCUUCUCGCCCCGUGCACUCGGCCGGGCUCAGGCCAGCAUCAGUUUGGGCGGCUGGACAAAGGCCUGGGGAACGUAGCCCCUCUCGGGGGGUGUUAUAGCCCCAGGCGCAAUGCAGCCCGCCCGGACUGAGGACCGCGCUUCGGCUAGGAUGCUGGCGUAAUGGUUGCAAGCGACCCGUCUUGAAACACGGACCAAGGAGUCUAACAUUUAUGCGAGUAUUUGGGUGUCAAACCCACAUGCGCAAUGAAAGUGAACGGAGGUAAGAACCCUCAAGGGUGCAUUAUCGACCGAUCCUGAUGUCUUCGGAUGGAUUUGAGUAAGAGCAUAACUGUUGGGACCCGAAAGAUGGUGAUCUAUACGUGAAUAGGGUGAAGCCAGAGGAAACUCUGGUGGAGGCUCGCAGCGGUUCUGACGUGCAAAUCGAUCGUCAAAUUUGCGUAUAGGGGCGAAAGACUA
rnacentral:rRNA from 1 species